ACCCUCCCAGAGUCAUUAUCGCUGCACUCCGUCGAGCCCCUGCACCUCUGCACCGGAGCCCGCGGGCUUCUCUCCAGCCGCGCCGUCUGGGGCACCCCGCGUACCCUUCUCCUUGGGCUCUGGGGCCCCGGUGCCUCUCCUGUCCUAUCCGCCUGCCGCGCGGAGGCGGCUCCUCCUCAGGUGGCCCGGCCCGGGCCUCCCCCAGCAGACCUGUCACCCGACACCCAGGAAGCGCGCGGCCCCAUCCCGGCUCCUCUUUGUUCCCCCGCCGGGCUCCGCGCUCGGGCGCCGCCUCCUCCCGCGUCGCGCCGUGGAGGUUCGGGGCGCCGCCCUCGGCCCGGCCCGGGCGCGCCUCAUGAGGUUCCGUCCAUCCGGCCCGCUCCGAACCAGGGCCCUUUUUGCCUUGUUUCUCCCGUGUGGACUCCGCGCGGAGCUGGGAGGCGGCGGUGCGCCCAGCCCGGAGCCGGCGCAGGUGAGUGUCCGGGGCGGGGCCGGGCGGAGCCAGCGCCGGGCGAGGAAGAGGAGGUGGAGGCGGGCGCCCCGGGGCGAGCGGUGCUAGAGCCCGAGUUGCGGGGGGGCGGCAGGGAAGGUGGGGGCCGCUCGGGGCGGCCAGCCUUCGGGGAUGACGCGGCAGGGCGGCCUGCCGGCUCUCCCGCGCCUUCCGGCGGAGGAUCCCACGCGGCUCCUUGGUCCCGGGUCCCCUUGUUGGGUCUGCCGUGCGCCCGGCACUCUGUCCUGGGCCCGGGGCGGCUGCGCGGUUUGAGUGCGGACUGUGUUUGGCAAGGUGGCAGAUGUCUGCGCUACACCCCUGGUCCUCUGGCAGGGUCACUGGGCUUCACCGGGUGCGCCCCACCCUCUGCUGGUCCUGAAGUGAGCCCAACGGGCACCGAGUCGGCCGGCAGGUCCGAGCCGAGGCUGAGCCUUCCAAGAAAUCUGUCCUGACCGUGGACCGAGCGCACUCAAAGGAUCGUGGCCCCACUCCCAGCUCUCAGCCGCCACCGGCCAGCGCGUUCCCCACGAGGCUCCUGGUUUGGAUCCCGGCAGCUGAGCUGCAGCUUCCGUUGCUUGUGUCUUUACGGCUCAUGGCCGCCCUUCAUGCACUCGAGGCCCUGGCCCUGCUCCUGCGUGGGGAAGGAGUCGGCCUUGUGCAGGAAGAAAAAAAUCCGGGGUACUAGCCUCACUUGUGAGAAUUUCGUUUAUUCCUUUUCCCCUACAAGGCGGGUUAGCGGGGCCCAGUGGCUCCUGGCGUGAGUCCGCACAGCUGCAGCCACUGCGUUAAUGGUGGGCGCGCUGGCGACCAGGCGGCGGCGAAAGCAGCUUUGGGCCCCUUCCCCGGGACCUCAUGGGGAGACCGGGCGGAAGGCACCGCGCCCUGGGCAUGUCCUAGGGCCCCAACCGCCCCCAGCCUCCAGCCCCUUGGGCUUCGGGGGCAUUCGAUGGAGACCUGCGGGACCAGGCCCGGGCCGGGCGCAGCUCGGAUCCGGGACUCCAGAGUCGUUGUGUAGAUGUCAAGUGGAGAGCCUUGGGGCUUCGUGAUGGCGAAACACCCCAGGUCUUGGAAUACUCACAGCCUCGCGUCCCAGCCACGCUCACCUCUCAGGAGCUGCUAAAACUGGAAGAAGAGAGCGUGGGACCUACCCUGCACGGCUGGGUGCCUGCGCGGAGGGAGGGAAACCUCUGGAGUAAGGGAGACUUAGAGAGGAGUCUGAAGAUGGUCCUAGCAGAGUUCAGGGGGGUGGGGCUGAGAACGCCGGAGGAGGGGGUGGUCAGCAGAGGCCUUGUAGGGUGUGUAGGAUACAUACGGCGUAAGACCCUCAAGUACUCUGGAUGUUUUGGUGGCAGUGGUGUCACAGCCAGCCUGCCCACCUGGCCUGGCAGCCGAGUCUCCUUUAGGCGCGCGCCAGUUCCGAUGCUCUUUUCUUUGCUAGGAGCUCAUUCCCGG
rnacentral:lncRNA from 1 species